rnacentral:rRNA from 1 species
CCUACGGGAGGCAGCAGUGGGGAAUAUUGUGCAAUGGGCGAAAGCCUGACGCAGCGACGCCGCGUGAGGGAUGAAGGUCUUCGGAUCGUAAACCUCUGUCAGCAGGGAAGAACGGUCACUGUGCUAAUCAGCAGUGAAUUGACGGUACCUGCAAAGGAAGCACCGGCUAACUCCGUGCCAGCAGCCGCGGUAAUACGGAGGGUGCGAGCGUUAAUCAGAAUUACUGGGCGUAAAGCGCUCGUAGGCGGUAUGUCAAGUCAAGGGUGAAAUCCCCGCGCUCAACGUGGGAACUGCCUUUGAAACUGGCAGACUGGAGUGUGUGAGAGGAUAGUGGAAUUCCAGGUGGAGGAGUGAAAUCCGUAGAUAUCUGGAGGAACAUCAGUGGCGAAGGCGACUAUCUGGCACAUAACUGACGCUGAGGAGCGAAAGCGUGGGUAGCAAACAGGAUUAGAUACCCUGGUAGUC